ensembl:rRNA 5S_rRNA 5S ribosomal RNA
GUCUACGGCCAUACCGCCCUGGGCAUGCCUGAUAUCUAGAGGCUAAGCAGGGUCAGGCCCGGCUGGUACCUGGAUGGGAGUAGUCAGCACAUAGAUAAGUGUAUAUU